GAUGAACGCUGGCGGCGUGCUUAACACAUGCAAGUCGAACGGAAAGGCUCUUGCUUGCUGGGGUACUCGAGUGGCGAACGGGUGAGUAACACGUGGGUGACCUGCCCUUCACUUCGGGAUAAGCUCGGGAAACUGGGUCUAAUACCGGAUAGGACGCUGGUCUGGAUGGCAUUGUGGAAAGUUUUUCGGUGUGGGUUGAGCUGCCGGCUUCUUAGCAUGUUGGUGGGGUAUUGGCCUACCAAGGCGUCGACGGCUAGCCGGCCUGCGAGGGUGGACGGCCACAUUGGGACUGAGAUACGGCCCAGACUCCUACGGGAGGCAGCAGUGGGGAAUAGUGCACAAUGGGCGUAAGCCUGAUGCAGCGACGCCGCGUGGGGGAGGACGGCCUUCGGGUUGUAAACCGCUUUCGCCCGUGACGAAGCGGGAGUGACGGUACUUGGGGAAGAAGCACCGGCUAACUACGUG
rnacentral:rRNA from 1 species